UUUGGUUGUGGUAAUAAUUUACUUAGGAUAAAAGUUUAUUCCAAAAAUAAAAUUUAAUGGAAAUUUUAUAUGGAAAUUCGUAAUUCCAUCUGAUUACCAUCAUGACUGCCGAUUUCAUUGUCAAAGUUGGAUUCUGGUGAAUCCAAAUUAACUAGGGAUUCAAUUUAUAUGUCCUUUGUGGACUUUACCUUUCUAAUUCCAAAUUGGUAAAUUGACUAAUAUUUUAUAUAUAACCUUUAUAUAAAUUAAUAUU
rnacentral:lncRNA from 1 species